rnacentral:piRNA from 1 species
UAGGAAGGAAAGAUGAUGUUGCAGAGGUA